AAAUACCAAAAGCUGUCCUCAUUGAGUCAUCCCUCCCAGAGCAGGAAGAGCAGAGGUUCUGGGAAACAACCCCAAGGAGAGAGACAGGGCAUUUGUGAGCUGUGCAGCCUCCCUGCUGGGACAUAGGGAACUCUAGCUGGAGAUGAGCAGGGCCUGAGUCUGAGGGUGGCCCUGCUGAAAGCACAGUAAUAGGAGUUAUAAUCAGCUAAGAGCAGGAAAUCUACUUUAUUUUUCUAAUGUUAUUCUUUGCUUUCUAGAUAAAACAGCAUGUAAGCAUCUCUGCAGUUGCUGUCCCCAGAGCCCACUUCCUGGAUAUUGCCAGCUGCCUGGACCAACCUUUCCGAAAGAUCAGCCAGGUCACAGUGAGGGUCAAAGCCCCCUUCCUCAGUCUAUUGCUCCGAAUCCUGGACCACACACUGCGUGCUGAGGCUCCAUCGCUGUGCUGGGUGAGGGGUGGAGGACUGUCCAGCUGACAGCCACCCAGGAGGCCUGCCCAGGAGACCCAGCCCAGCCUCUCCUUGGAACCUGAAGAACUCCAGGCAGCUGAUGGGACACUGGGGCCCAGGAGGCCACUGGAGGCUCCAAGGGCUCUGAAAUGUUGAGAACUUCCCUGCAGGUACCAGCGAAGAGGGCAAGAACACAGCACUACUUCCUUGGAUACUGUUUCCCUCCUCAGAGGGGUUUUCUGAGCUGCCCUGGGUCCUGUGAGGAAGAUCUCCCCUUCCUGUAAAGACACCAGUCCUACUGGAUCAGGGCCCACCCGUGUGACUUCACUUUUACUUGAGUACCUCUCACAGACCCUAACUCCAAAUCAGGUCACUUGCUGAGGUACUGCAUGUGAAGACUUUGACAUUUGAAUUUUGAGGGGGCCACCGUUUAACCUGAACCACCAAGGACAGAGCCAAAGACCCUGGGUGACAGGCCCAGAACAGGACCUGGUGGAGGCUCUUCUUUAGGGGAGAGAGGGAAAUGGGAGCCACCACUGGCAGAGCCUGAAGGCAGGGCAGCCAGAAAGAAGCUGUGGGAGUCCCCACCAUGGAAGACCCUGCCGAGCAUCCUGUGUCUCCUGAAGCAGACCCUGACAUGAGGACUGGGGGCACGUGUUUAUUAAGGGCGAUCCCCGGAAGGAGGAGAUAACCAGGCAGAAGUCCUAGCAGAGUAUGCCCACGCUGGUUAGUGCUGCUGCAAAGAUGAGCCGAAGACCAUGAGAGACCUCCAGGUGGUCCUUCUGGGGAGAAGAAAUGGGUUUUGGCCCCAAAUCCUUCUGCUGCAUUUUUCCCCUAUCCCUGGGAAGCCAUGAGACCUCAAACCUGUGUUCCCAAGGAGGCGAGCUGCUGUUCCCAGGUGAUGAUAUGAUGUGCUUGGGGAAAGUAAGUGGCUGCCAGACAUGGCUGAGAGCUGUUGUCACUGCCGUCAAGUGCAUGUCUCCAAGCCAUAUCACACGGCGUCCCUCGAUGUGAGGCCACAUGGCAAGUGGGCCGUGGAUCUCCCUCUGCCCUUUGCAAGCACGUAAGACAGCAGAUUUUGCAGAUACCUUGUGGCGCAGGGGAAUUUCCUUUGGCCAGGUCUGAAGAAAUAAAGCAGCAGGCACCGAGAACAAAGCCAAGGCUUUCAAAAGACAAGGAGCCAAAAAACUUACUCAAAAUAAAAGUAGUUUUAAAAUG
ensembl:lncRNA novel transcript